rnacentral:rRNA from 1 species
AUUGAACGCUGGCGGCAGGCUUAACACAUGCAAGUCGAGCGAGCGGCGGACGUGUGAGUAAUGUCUGGGAAACUGCCUGAUGGAGGGGGAUAACUACUGGAAACGGUAGCUAAUACCGCAUACCAUCGGAUGUGCCCAGAUGGGAUUAGCUAGUAGGUGGGGCAAAGGCUCACCUAGGCGACGAUCCCUAGCUGGUCUGAGAGGAUGACCAGCCAGACUGGAACUGAGACACGGUCCAGCCUCCUACGGGGGGCAGCAGUGGGGAAUAUUGCACAAUGGGCGCAAGCCUGAUGCGGCCAUGCGGCGUGUAUGAUGAAGGCCUUCGGGUUGUAGUGUACUUUCGGCGGGGGGGCGUUACCCGCAGAGGUAGCACCGGCUGACUCCGUGCCAGCAGCCGCGGUAAUUC